UGGUUGUUGCAAUUCUGAUUAUGUCAUGUUGGUUAAAAAGCAAAUGGUGUGCUGAAUCAUGUCAAAGGUUUUAACCCUUUUCUCAUCAUUCUACCUUCAGUUCAGAUUUCAGAAGAAGAAAAUGUUGGAUAUAUAUAUAUAUGUAUAUAUAUGUGUAACCUCCUUCCCUCUUCUAUGAGGCAUUACUCUAAUUUUCAAAUACAGUAUAUUUUGCGCCGUGAUGUUUUAUGAAUUUUUUCUUGGAUAUCAUCACCUGUCUGAAUUAUCCACAAUGUUUUGGCAUUGAUCAAAUAUGUGCCUGUCUGAAUUAUCCAUGAGGUUUUCCCAUGAAACAGAUGCAUGGCUGUCGGUUGAAAUCAUAAUUCUUUCCAUAAAUUUGCUUCUCAUCUGAAGUAAUAUUAGCUUGGCCCAUUGGUGAUUUAUGACAGAAGAAAUUCUCCUAACAGUCAAGUACUCACUAUACCCUUUUGCUCCAUUCUACCUUUCUUCUUGCUCCUGCCUGAUUCGUGUUUGUCUCCACUCCACAUUCCACAACCAUUACAUAUCUUCGGAAUAUUGAUUUUAUAAUUAGAUUUCUUUUUUUGCAUUUAGUUCCAUAUUUCCAAUUCUUUUAGGAUUCUCGUGUAAAUGUUCGUAAGAGUUGCUCAUUGUAGCCUACUGAUAAGAUCAACUGGAAGGUUUAGAAUUGGUUGAUUAUUUCUGCUUGUUUCUUGACUUUUUUGUUAAUAGCAUUUUUCUUGACAUUUUCUUACUCACAUAAUAAAUCUUACAAUCGAAAUGACGGAUAUGGCAGAGAAACAAAUCUGUUGGAGGGGUCUGGAACUGUGGCUCAGAGUUGACUUAUAUGAAUGCAGAGUCAUCUGCACAUGUGUUUAUCAACUAUCGUUGUUGUAGUUGACGGAAUGCAUCACCCCUAUUUAUCAAAGGAGGGAUCUCUUUCUCGUGAGAGUGAUGGCGGUUUGAUAUGAAGCAACUUUUCUUGUUUUGGUUCUUUUCCUCUUCUGAUUUCGCAAUUCUGUAAUGGUAUGCAAUCCCUGCAUCCAUCAACUGCUUUCUCCGGAGCCUGGAGCAAGGAUGACACCACCCACGCCCUUGACGAUUUCACGCUGGCCUAUUAGCAAACCAAUGGUCAAUAUUUGAGUAUACUGCAACAUUGAUAAAAGAAAUGUGUCCCUAGGCUUUCUCAUUUUCUUUAACUUCGGGUUAUUUUUGUUCAGGUAAGAUCCACCUUGAGAAGUACAUGUCUUGAGUUCUGGGAGGGAAUUGCAUUGAUACUGAUGUAACAAUUUGUGUUGCACUUUGCAUUGUGAUGAUGAAGAAUGAUUAUUUUGAAAUUUCCCAUAAUUGGUUCAUACUUUUGCUUCUUAGAGCCACUAUCUCAAGAAGUGUUGUUUUCACUCAAUAUUAUUAGAGCAACCAUUGUCAUCCACUAAUGAGUAAGGCUUUUCAGACUGUCGGUCUUCUACCGAAAUUCGGGUUGCGACAACUUCAAUAUCUCCUAAAAGAUUUGGAGUGAACCUAACACAAGAGUUGGAGUUUUUGCUUAUGAUCUUGAUCUUCAAUAUUAUGUGAAAGUUUUGGUUUGAAAUAAUCAUUUGAUAUUAAAUUUUUGAAGAGUUUUGAUAAUGUGAUUGGAUUAAAUAUUUUAUAGACCAAAACAACAUACUCAAAAGAUGAUGCUUGAGGUUUUUGAUGUUGGUU
rnacentral:sRNA from 1 species